UUUCAGUCCCACCCCCCGACCUCCGGGGAGGAGAGAGGGAUUGAAGGUUAAGUUGAUCUUCAAUGGCCAAUGAUUUAAUCAAUCAUGCCUGUGUAAUGAAGCCUUCAUAAAAACCUAAAAAAGGACGGGGUUUGGAGAGCUUCCUGUAAGCGAACCCGUGAAGGUUCCAGGAGGAUGGCGCACCCGGAAAGGGCGUGGAAGCUCCGCGCCCCUUCCCACAGACUUUCCCCCAUCCAUCUCUUCAUCUGGUGUUCAUCGAUAGCCUUUGUAAUGUCCUUAAUAGUAAACCGGAAAACAUGUACACCUAACAGCAUGGUAAGGAAGCCCCAGAAGGAUGUUUCUAAAGACCAUGAGGGAGUCUGAAACCUGAAAUCAUGCCAAGGACUCUCUGCUUCUCUUUCACUUGGGGUGUCUAUCUGAUGCUGCCACAACCAGUUGAAACGUAUAACAUUAACAAUAAAAAUUAGUUUUUUUGUAACUAAU
rnacentral:lncRNA from 10 species